rnacentral:rRNA from 1 species
ACGGCGAGUGAGCGGCAGAGCUCAAAUUUGAAAGCUGGCCCCUCCGGGGCCCGCGUUGUAAUUUGCAGAGGAUGCUUUGGGUGCGGCCCCCGUCUAAGUGCCCUGGAACGGGCCGUCAGAGAGGGUGAGAAUCCCGUCUUGGGCGGGGUGUCCGUGCCCGUGUAAAGCUCCUUCGACGAGUCGAGUUGUUUGGGAAUGCAGCUCUAAAUGGGUGGUAAAUUUCAUCUAAAGUAUAA